rnacentral:rRNA from 1 species
UACGGAAGGGGCUAGCGUUGUUCGGAAUUACUGGGCGUAAAGCGCGCGUAGGCGGCCAAGCAAGUGAGGCGUGAAAGCCCUGGGCUCAACCCGGGAACGGCGCUUCAUACUGCAUGGCUUGAGUCCGGGAGAGGGUGGUGGAAUUCCCAGUGUAGAGGUGAAAUUCGUAGAUAUUGGGAGGAACACCGGUGGCGAAGGCGGCCACCUGGCCCGGCACUGACGCUGAAGUGCGAAAGCGUGGGGAGCAAACAGG